GGCAUGCUUAACACAUGCAAGUCGAACGGCAGCAUAACCUGCUUGCAGGUUGAUGGCGAGUGGCGAACGGGUGAGUAACGCGUAGAGAUCUGCCCUGAAGUGGGGGGCAACCCGGGGGAAACUCGGGCUAAUACCGCAUAAUCUUUUAGAAGAAAAGUGUGCCUCUGCUUGCAAGCACAUGCUUCAGGAUGAACCUGCGUCCGAUUAGCUAGUUGGUGGGGUAAAGGCCUACCAAGGCGACGAUCGGUAGCUGGUCUGAGAGGAUGAUCAGCCACACUGGGACUGAGACACGGCCCAGACUCCUACGGGAGGCAGCAGUGGGGAAUAUUGGACAAUGGGGGCAACCCUGAUCCAGCAAUGCCGCGUGUGUGAAGAAGGCCUGCGGGUUGUAAAGCACUUUCGUUGGGGAGGAGAAGCUCAUUGGGAUAAGCAAUGAGUGGAGACGUUACCCAAAUAAGAAGCACCGGCUAACUCUGUG
rnacentral:rRNA from 1 species